GCUUGUCUCAAAGAUUAAGCCAUGCAUGUCUAAGUAUAAGCAAUUAUACAGCGAAACUGCGAAUGGCUCAUUAUAUAAGUUAUCGUUUAUUUGAUAGCACCUUACUACUUGGAUAACCGUGGUAAUUCUAGAGCUAAUACAUGCACAAAAUCCCGACUUACGAAGGGAUGUAUUUAUUAGAUACAAAACCAAUGCCCUCCGGGGCUCACUGGUGAUUCAUGAUAACUUCGCGAAUCGCACAGCCUUGCGCUGGCGAUGGUUCAUUCAAAUUUCUUCCCUAUCAACUUUCGAUGUUUGGGUAUUGGCCAAACAUGGUUGCAACGGGUAACGGAGGGUUAGGGCUCGACCCCGGAGAAGGAGCCUGAGAAACGGCUACUACAUCCAAGGAAGGCAGCAGG
rnacentral:rRNA from 1 species